rnacentral:rRNA from 1 species
AUUGAACGCUGGCGGCAGGCCUAACACAUGCAAGUCGAGCGGAGCGGCGGACGGGUGAGUAAUGCCUAGGAAUCUGCCUGGUAGUGGGGGAUAACGUCCGGAAACGGGCGCUAAUACCGCAUACUAUCAGAUGAGCCUCGGUCGGAUUAGCUAGUUGGUGGGGUAAAGGCCUACCAAGGCGACGAUCCGUAACUGGUCUGAGAGGAUGCUCAGUCACACUGGAACUGUGAAACGGGCCAAGCUUCUACGGGGAGGAGCAGGGGGGAAUAUUGGACAAUGGGAGGAAGCCGUGUCCAGCCAUUCCGCGUUUUGUAAGAAGGUCUUCGGAUUGUAAAGCACUUUAAGUUUGGAGGCGUUACCAACAGAAUAAGCACCGGCUAACUUCGUGCCAGCAGGCGCGGUAAUUC